rnacentral:lncRNA from 1 species
GUCUAUCUGUAUAACUUUGCGCGAAAUCAAGUAAAGGAAAAGAAAUUUUUACCUUCUUGGAAAGGACCAUAUGUCAUCAUUGACAAAAUUUCCCCUGUAGCGUAUAAGAUAAAAAUUCCUAAGGAUGGUGAUUUUAUUGAAAAGUGGGUUCACAUUAACCAGUUGCGUGCUUGUCAUCCUAAAUCUCAAUUAAGGAUUAUAGGUGUGGAUUCAGACGCAGAAGGGUGAACG